UACGGAGGAUCCAAGCGUUAUCCGGAAUCAUUGGGCUUAAAGGGUCCGUAGGCGGUUUUGUAAGUCAGUGGUGAAAGCCCAUCGCUCAACGGUGGAACGGCCAUUGAUACUGCAAGACUUGAAUUAGUAGGAAGUAACUAGAAUAUGUAGUGUAGCGGUGAAAUGCUUAGAGAUUACAUGGAAUACCAAUUGCGAAGGCAGGUUACUACUAAUUGAUUGACGCUGAUGGACGAAAGCGUGGGGAGCGAACAGG
rnacentral:rRNA from 1 species